AUACUUGGCUGGCAGAGAGAUGUCAUGAUCAUGAAGGUGAUUCUCCCAGGGUGAGGUCUGUCCAUUGCACCCUGGAUGUGCUGACCCCUGCGAUUUCCCCAGAUGUGGGAAACUCAACUGUAUAACUUGUGGCAGUUGGAGACUGCACUCGUGCUUUCCCCUA